GACCCGAAACCCGGUGAUCUAGCCAUGGGCAGGUUGAAGGUUGGGUAACACUAACUGGAGGACCGAACCGACUAAUGUUGAAAAAUUAGCGGAUGACUUGUGGCUGGGGGUGAAAGGCCAAUCAAACCGGGAGAUAGCUGGUUCUCCCCGAAAGCUAUUUAGGUAGCGCCUCGUGAAUUCAUCUCCGGGGGUAGAGCACUGUUUCGGCAAGGGGGUCAUCCCGACUUACCAACCCGAUGCAAACUGCGAAUACCGGAGAAUGUUAUCACGGGAGACACACGGCGGGUGCUAACGUCCGUCGUGAAGAGGGAAACAACCCAGACCGCCAGCUAAGGUCCCAAAGUCAUGGUUAAGUGGGAAACGAUGUGGGAAGGCCCAGACAGCCAGGAUGUUGGCUUAGAAGCAGCCAUCAUUUAAAGAAAGCGUAAUAGCUCACUGGUCGAGUCGGCCUGCGCGGAAGAUGUAACGGGGCUAAACCAUGCACCGAAGCUGCGGCAGCGACACUGUGUGUUGUUGGGUAGGGGAGCGUUCUGUAAGCCUGCGAAGGUGUACUGUGAGGUAUGCUGGAGGUAUCAGAAGUGCGAAUGCUGACAUAAGUAACGAUAAAGCGGGUGAAAAGCCCGCUCGCCGGAAGACCAAGGGUUCCUGUCCAACGUUAAUCGGGGCAGGGUGAGUCGACCCCUAAGGCGAGGCCGAAAGGCGUAGUCGAUGGGAAACAGGUUAAUAUUCCUGUACUUGGUGUUACUGCGAAGGGGGGACGGAGAAGGCUAUGUUGGCCGGGCGACGGUUGUCCCGGUUUAAGCGUGUAGGCUGGUUUUCCAGGCAAAUCCGGAAAACUAAGGCUGAGGCGUGAUGACGAGGCACUACGGUGCUGAAGCAACAAAUGCCCUGCUUCCAGGAAAAGCCUCUAAGCAUCAGGUAACAUCAAAUCGUACCCCAAACCGACACAGGUGGUCAGGUAGAGAAUACCAAGGCGCUUGAGAGAACUCGGGUGAAGGAACUAGGCAAAAUGGUGCCGUAACUUCGGGAGAAGGCACGCUGAUAUGUAGGUGAAGUCCCUCGCGGAUGGAGCUGAAAUCAGUCGAAGAUACCAGCUGGCUGCAACUGUUUAUUAAAAACACAGCACUGUGCAAACACGAAAGUGGACGUAUACGGUGUGACGCCUGCCCGGUGCCGGAAGGUUAAUUGAUGGGGUUAGCGGUAACGCGAAGCUCUUGAUCGAAGCCCCGGUAAACGGCGGCCGUAACUAUAACGGUCCUAAGGUAGCGAAAUUCCUUGUCGGGUAAGUUCCGACCUGCACGAAUGGCGUAAUGAUGGCCAGGCUGUCUCCACCCGAGACUCAGUGAAAUUGAACUCGCUGUGAAGAUGCAGUGUACCCGCGGCAAGACGGAAAGACCCCGUGAACCUUUACUAUAGCUUGACACUGAACAUUGAGCCUUGAUGUGUAGGAUAGGUGGGAGGCUUUGAAGUGUGGACGCCAGUCUGCAUGGAGCCGACCUUGAAAUACCACCCUUUAAUGUUUGAUGUUCUAACGUUGACCCGUAAUCCGGGUUGCGGACAGUGUCUGGUGGGUAGUUUGACUGGGGCGGUCUCCUCCUAAAGAGUAACGGAGGAGCACGAAGGUUGGCUAAUCCUGGUCGGACAUCAGGAGGUUAGUGCAAUGGCAUAAGCCAGCUUGACUGCGAGCGUGACGGCGCGAGCAGGUGCGAAAGCAGGUCAUAGUGAUCCGGUGGUUCUGAAUGGAAGGGCCAUCGCUCAACGGAUAAAAGGUACUCCGGGGAUAACAGGCUGAUACCGCCCAAGAGUUCAUAUCGACGGCGGUGUUUGGCACCUCGAUGUCGGCUCAUCACAUCCUGGGGCUGAAGUAGGUCCCAAGGGUAUGGCUGUUCGCCAUUUAAAGUGGUACGCGAGCUGGGUUUAGAACGUCGUGAGACAGUUCGGUCCCUAUCUGCCGUGGGCGCUGGAGAACUGAGGGGGGCUGCUCCUAGUACGAGAGGACCGGAGUGGACGCAUCACUGGUGUUCGGGUUGUCAUGCCAAUGGCACUGCCCGGUAGCUAAAUGCGGAAGAGAUAAGUGCUGAAAGCAUCUAAGCACGAAACUUGC
rnacentral:rRNA from 1 species